rnacentral:rRNA from 1 species
AACGAACGCUGGCGGCAGGCUUAACACAUGCAAGUCGAACGCAUCCUUCGGGGUGAGUGGCAGACGGGUGAGUAACGCGUGGGAACGUGCCCUUCAGUUCGGGAUAACCCAGGGAAACUUGGGCUAAUACCGGAUACGUGCGAGAGCAGAAAGAUUUAUCGCUGAAGGAUCGGCCCGCGUCGGAUUAGCUAGUUGGUGGGGUAAUGGCCCACCAAGGCGACGAUCAGUAGCUGGUCUGAGAGGAUGAUCAGCCACAUUGGGACUGAGCACACGGCCCAAACUCCUACGGGAGGCAGCAGUGGGGAAUAUUGGACAAUGGGCGCAAGCCUGAUCCAGCCAUGCCGCGUGAGUGAUGAAGGCCUUAGGGUUGUAAAGCUCUUUCGUCCGGGACGAUAAUGACGGUACCGGAAGAAGAAGCCCCGGCUAACUUCGUGCCAGCCGCCGCCGUAA